GUGGGGAAUUUUGGACAAUGGGCGCAAGCCUGAUCCAGCAAUGCCGCGUGCAGGAAGAAGGCCUUCGGGUUGUAAACUGCUUUUGUCAGGGAAGAAAUCUUCUGGGCUAAUACCCCGGGAGGAUGACGGUACCUGAAGAAUAAGCACCGGCUAACUACGUGCCAGCAGCCGCGGUAAUACGUAGGGUGCGAGCGUUAAUCGGAAUUACUGGGCGUAAAGCGUGCGCAGGCGGCUUUGCAAGACAGAUGUGAAAUCCCCGGGCUCAACCUGGGAACUGCAUUUGGGACUGCAAGGCUAGAGUACGGCAGAGGGGGAUGGAAUUCCGCGUGUAGCAGUGAAAUGCGUAGAUAUGCGGAGGAACACCAAUGGCGAAGGCAAUCCCCUGGGCCUGUACUGACGCUCAUGCACGAAAGCGUGGGGAGCAAACAGGAUUAGAUACCCGAGUAGUCC
rnacentral:rRNA from 1 species